AUUAAGCCCUAUUAAGAUAGUUGUAGUAUGCGUAAGUAGAGAUCGUUCUAGGUUGGGGAUUAGUUAGAGAUGCUAAUCAACACAAAUGAAACUUAAAAACUGAAAACUACACUCUAAAACAUAAAACUAAACGUAAACUACUCAAAAUAGCCUAAACUGACUCAAAACACACAAACUAAGUUAAAUUGACUCAAAACAAGAACUAAGGGGUGAUUUGGACGAAAAUUGAACUAGAAAGACUCAAAACACUAAAAAGAACCUAGUUUGGACAUAUUAUAACCUAAAGACAUGAAAUAUAAAGGGGAAUUGGUUUUUGACGAAUUUAAGACUCAAACUAAACAGAUUUAAGACUCUAAAUAACUUUGGACGAAAUUGGUGAUUUAAUGGGUGAAUGGCUAGCUAGAGGGUCAUUCUCCACACAUGACACAUAUGCAUACAAAUCAAUCUCCAGUUAUUCUUCUUAUAAACUAUGAAUGACAAUGCCCCAAAUUAAUCGUGAGAAGCACAAAUGAACUUUCAGAUUUUCCUAAAUUCAUUGAAUUGGACUCAGCGAUGCAAUCAAAUUAUUCUUAUCAAGUUCCCUACAUGAACAGCAUAAUAGGGAUACAUAUCAAAGAUCAUUAAGUUCUAUGAAAACCAUAAGCAUUGACAAGGCAUUCAUAACUAUGAACUACAUGAUACUCCUGCCAAGAAUUCACUUAACACGAUCAUGACUAGUGACCUCCACUACUUAUAAAUAUAAGUUCAUAACUAUUAAGUGAAACUCCCUUAUAUCUUAGCAUCAAAUUAAUGCAUGCAAACUAAGUAGGCCUCCUUAAUCAACACACGAGAACAAGUUAUCAAUCAAACAGAUAAGUAAAUUGCAUUCACGAUUCAUGAAAUCAUAACUGGAUGUAAUCAAUUCAUAUCACAUAUAUGUUCAUGGCUUUGAAUUCACCUCUAACCAAAACGAAUUUAGUUCCACAUGGUUGCAAUUAAAUAAAAACAAUCUAAUUUAAACAUUGAACUAAAACUAAGGAUAGAAUGCACCUAGAAAACCUCCAGCACUCCAAUGGCCUUGGAUGGCAGGUCACGGCUCCAAGCUCUCCUUCCUUCCUUGCAAACCUACGGCGCAAUUGUGUAUUUUUCUGAUUUUAGGCUCUUGUGUAUGAGGUGCGAAAAUAGGGUCAGAGAUAUGUAUUUAUAGGCUAGGGUUUCAGCACAAAGGUUGUGGAGGAGAAGGAUUACAUAAUCCUAAGGGAAUAGGACUAGGGAAUUCGGCACAAAGCUUCUAGAAAGGGGUUAAAUUCAUCAGAUUCCUAGGGGAAAAGGGAUCAGGUUAUUUGCAUUGUUUCAGGGCUUCUAGAAUCAGAUAUUAGGUAUUCUAAUGUGAUAAGGAGUCCCCCUUAUAGCUGGAAUUAGGUAGGAUAAGAUUAGGAUAGGAUAAGAUAAGAUAAGGUUAGUUUGGAUACUGUUGGAUAAGAUAAGGUUUUGGACAAUGUUCCUUCCUUUUAGCUGAUUCCUUAUCUUCUUUGUCUUGACUUUAUUUUCUUUAUCUCAUCAGCAUAUUCCUAGCCUCUUGAACUUAAAAAACGUCCAUCCACCUUGCUCCAUGCAUGUGCUAUCCAUUCUUGGCCCAAAACUGCUCCAAAUUACACUUUCUUGCCAACUUUAUUAUUUGAACCUGAAAACACACGAAAAUAACUUAAAACACUAUAAUAAACAGAAACUAACUCACUAAAUGCAAGAAAACAAGCUAACUAAGUCGCAUAAAUAUGCUCCUAUCAUGGCAGCCUUAUGGCAUAGGCUUUGGCCUGCUACAACGAGGUAGCCAAACCGUGGGCAGUGGCUACCACGGUGGUGCUUCGUGGGGAUGGUGCCGCUCCACUCAUUGCUGCAUUGAGCCUCAUGGAUUGCCGUGGUCCAAAUCCUUAAAUGUAGGAAGUUCCAUUUGUUAUGGUUUCUGAAUUUCUAGUCAUUGUACUUUUCUUUUACGUUUUAUCAAAGAAUUUUUAAUAAGAAUGUACGAAAAAUCUACAAAUGAACAAGAAAUGAGAAACUUUGAAAUGCGAGAGGCUUCUUCGAGUGUGUGAAUCAAGACUCUCAAUGAAAGCACCAAUUUGUGGAUGCAAAUUUCCUUCUUCUUGGACGAAAAUGUACCUGCAAAACAAUUAACACCUAAGAUCGAAGGCCAAGAGCCUCAAGCGCCCACAAUGAAUUUUUUUUUGGGUGGGGGGGGGGGACUUUGGCCAAAGAAUCUCCAAGGCCAAAGUUAGAAUUUGAGGGAAAAGUGUUUACAGAAAUUUAGAGAAAUUUAGAGAAAUUUAGAAGAGAAUUGAACUUAGGUUUUUUGAGAAAUGAGGGGCUAUAUAAAGGAGUGGCUGGUCCAUAUUUCCCUAUUUGGGGAAAUAGGGACCGGCCACUUAUGGUGGUAAUUUGGCUCUAAUUGCAAGAUAUUAUGCUACAUAAUAUAUUGCAAUCAAUUAGGUAAUUAAUCAAUUAAUUUUGGCAAUUAAUCUCAAUUUGAAAAGAAUAAUUGGGAGUUACCUUGUGGGUGAAGAUUUGAUGAGGAGUGAUGAGAGGGUUUAAAAGAAUACCAUUUUGAUCAUAUUUGACCUUGAUUGAGCUGUUAUUAUCCGUUGCAUGCGCGUGGGAGUCCCAUGCCUCAAGGGUAAUUUUAUCUUUUUUACCCAAAAGUCCACGUGUUGCUUUCAUAUUUUUUUUCUUGAUUAUUUUUUGUUCCACACUUAUGUGAUUAAUGGUUUUUUUGGGGGGGGGGGGGGGGAAGUAAUAUGUGCCGUCGAUUUGGAUAGAUCCAGCAUCGCCUCCCCAUUCAAGAUGAACCAAUUUAAUACAAUACAGAAUCAAGAAACUCGUAUGAGAAGGGAGUUUUCUGAGAAAAAAGAGUUCUACAAAGCCAAAGCUAUACAUUUUGGAGAAAUGGAAAGCAGGACUCUGAAUAUUUUUUACUAAUAAUGAGCAACUUUCGUUUUCAAAGGGAGAAGAUGUUUCUUCAAUAUACUGCAAUAUAUUAGGACCAGGCAUGAAGGUAUUGUAAGAAAAUGUAAAAUGCAGUAUUAAAUAUAUAUAUAUAUAUAUAUAUACAUGGAAAAUGCUGUACCAAAAUGAAGUAAGCUACACAAUGAUUAGUUUGUUUUGUCAAUCACCUCCUAAUUUCAGAUCUCAUGGACGACAGUUGUUUAACAAAUAAAUAGUCAGUGUUUUAAAAAAAUGCAUCUAGAGGCGCGCUAGGCGACUUUGCAGGCAAGCCGACCAUGCAAUCACCUAUGCCCAGCAAAAGUAGGCGAAAACUCACCUAAACAUAGUCGAGGCGCACCUGAGAUGUUCCACUGGCGUCCUUUUUUCCGUUUUAAGUUGCAAGAAUCCAAAAUUUUUUUUUUUUUGAGUUGCAGGGGUCUGCCAAGCGAAGAAGAUGGAGAAGAUGGGAGGUUUUUUCUUCCUAACCUUUUUUUAUGCUUUUUUUUCUCUUUUAAAAUUUAAACUGGCCCCACUUUGUUGACAUUACCCCACUAUCUUUCUUUUUGUUCAAUUUUUUUUAAUAGUAUUUUUUCCUCAUAUACAAGAUAGAUAGAUAAGCAUCUUUUCUUGGAUAUUCUCAUGACAACCUAGCAGGGAGAAAAAAUAAAUGUCUUUUUGUUUUUAUUUCUCUUUUUAAAACUACAUAUCACACCCAAAUAUUACUCAAAACUUUCAUAUACAUACAAUGUUCUAAAAAACGGCAUAGGCGCUGGGCGUUGUCGUCCCGUGGCGAUUUGGGGUAAAACGUUGAAAACGGUAGGCCAUCUAGAUGGCUACUAGGCGGUGGAAGGCAGGCCAGGCGGUGCAGCCCAGACUUGAUUCGACAAACCCAGACGCUACAACCCCAACAAGCUGCAAACCCAGAAGCAGAAGCUUUCACAAUUUCGUACACCUAGAAAGAGAAUACUAAUCCUAAUCUAAGAUUGCCAAGAAGAAUAGAGAGAGAAAAAGCAGAGAGAAAAAAAGAAGGGUGAUGGCUGACUCAACUUCCAUUGCCUUUUGCUAGAGUGUUCUUUGUUUUUUUUGUUUCUUGUUUUUACAGAACUAGAGUGUUCUUUGCAAAUAUUGAAGCAUGGAUGGCCUCUUUGGUUCUGUGCUAAUUGAAUUAGAUACAUUGGGGGCUAUGAGCUGCAGUGGCUUUUGGGUUUCCUUUUACAAUCUCUAGGGCUUAUUUUAUGGAUUUGUACAAAAUAAUUUAUUGCAUAAUUAAAUCCAAUAACUUCCCUUAGAAGCUGGUUUCCCAUAGGCAUUGGAAAGAGAUAAUAUCCAAGCAAUAAAGCCUUCCAAAACCGUUCAGAUUACAAAACAAUUUGUAUUUUGCACAUUUUAUUUAAUUUUUUGCAAAUUUCUAAUACAUUUAGGUGUAAAUAAAUACCUAUUUAUAGGAUAUAUAAUAAAUUUUAUUCAAAUCCGCCUAGGCACUAGGCCCCAUGCCGCCGCCCCACUAGCGCCUAGCAUUUUUUAGAAUCUUGUAUACAUAUAAAUAGUACUUAAGUCUCUAGAUGUCUCGCUCUAUUUGUUUGAUUGUUGAUUAAGUUGAUUGCUUGGUUAAACUUGUUUUUGAUGUGAGUUAAACUUGUUUGUGACGUGUGCACUUUUGACUGACAAUGAAUAUUUGUUUUA
rnacentral:lncRNA from 1 species